AGAUGGCGACCGGCGCACGGGUGAGUAACACGUAUCCAACCUGCCGAUAACUCGGGGAUAGCCUUUCGAAAGAAAGAUUAAUACCCGAUGGUAUAAUCAGCCGCAUGGUUUGAUUAUUAAAGAAUUUCGGUUAUCGAUGGGGAUGCGUUCCAUUAGGCAGUUGGUGAGGUAACGGCUCACCAAACCUUCGAUGGAUAGGGGUUCUGAGAGGAAGGUCCCCCACAUUGGAACUGAGACACGGUCCAA
rnacentral:rRNA from 1 species